UAACACGUAGGGGGCAAGCGUUGUUCGGAAUUACUGGGCGUAAAGGGCAUGUAGGCGGUUUAGUAAGCUUGGCGUGAAAGACCACGGCUUAACUGUGGAGUUGCGUUGAGAACUGCUGAACUUGAGUUACGGAGAGGGAGCUAGAAUUCCUGGUGUAGGGGUGGAAUCUGUAGAGAUCAGGAAGAAUACCGAUGGCGAAGGCAAGCUUCUGGCCGAUAACUGACGCUGAGGUGCGAAAGUGUGGGGAUCAAACAGG
rnacentral:rRNA from 1 species